ACAAAAUUAUAGGUUUUAAAUACAUUAACCCACAAACCCUUAUCCCCGGGGGCCUUUUAGGUUUUUUUUUAGAUUUUUUCCUCUGCUCAGGAUGAACGCUGCCGGCGUGCCUAAUACAUGCAAGUCGAACGAGUUCUCGUUGAUGAUCGGUGCUUGCACCGAGAUUCAACAUGGAACGAGUGGCGGACGGGUGAGUAACACGUGGGUAACCUGCCCUUAAGUGGGGGAUAACAUUUGGAAACAGAUGCUAAUACCGCAUAGAUCCAAGAACCGCAUGGUUCUUGGCUGAAAGAUGGCGUAAGCUAUCGCUUUUGGAUGGACCCGCGGCGUAUUAGCUAGUUGGUGAGGUAAUGGCUCACCAAGGCGAUGAUACGUAGCCGAACUGAGAGGUUGAUCGGCCACAUUGGGACUGAGACACGGCCCAAACUCCUACGGGAGGCAGCAGUAGGGAAUCUUCCACAAUGGACGCAAGUCUGAUGGAGCAACGCCGCGUGAGUGAAGAAGGCUUUCGGGUCGUAAAACUCUGUUGUUGGAGAAGAAUGGUCGGCAGAGUAACUGUUGUCGGCGUGACGGUAUCCAACCAGAAAGCCACGGCUAACUACGUGCCAGCAGCCGCGGUAAUACGUAGGUGGCAAGCGUUAUCCGGAUUUAUUGGGCGUAAAGCGAGCGCAGGCGGUUUUUUAAGUCUGAUGUGAAAGCCCUCGGCUUAACCGAGGAAGCGCAUCGGAAACUGGGAAACUUGAGUGCAGAAGAGGACAGUGGAACUCCAUGUGUAGCGGUGAAAUGCGUAGAUAUAUGGAAGAACACCAGUGGCGAAGGCGGCUGUCUGGUCUGUAACUGACGCUGAGGCUCGAAAGCAUGGGUAGCGAACAGGAUUAGAUACCCUGGUAGUCCAUGCCGUAAACGAUGAAUGCUAGGUGUUGGAGGGUUUCCGCCCUUCAGUGCCGCAGCUAACGCAUAAGCAUCCGCCUGGAGACG
rnacentral:rRNA from 2 species